CACGGGGGGAACGAGCGUUGUUCGGAUUUACUGGGCGUAAAGGGUGUGUAGGCGGGUCGGCAAGUCGGGUGUGAAAUUCCAUGGCUUAACCAUGGAUCUGCAUUCGAAACUGUUGGGCUUGAGUACUGGAGAGGGGAGUGGAAUUCUCGGUGUAGGGGUGAAAUCCGUAGAUAUCGGGAGGAACAUCAGUGGCGAAGGCGGCCACCUGGACGGUGACUGACGCUGAGACGCGAAAGCGUGGGGAGCAAACAGG
rnacentral:rRNA from 1 species